ensembl:snRNA U2 U2 spliceosomal RNA
AUCGCUUCUCGGCCUUUUGGCUAAGAUCAAGUGUAGUAUCUGUUCUUAUCAGUUUAAAACAGUAUUUUAAACUGUGUGUUUCUAUGUGGGUGCAAACUGAUGAAAUCUUUGCUUAAUAUAUACUAAAUUUACCUUCU